rnacentral:rRNA from 1 species
UGAAGAGUUUGAUCAUGGCUCAGAUUGAACGCUGGCGGCAGGCUUAACACAUGCAAGUCGAGCGCACUCUUCGGAGUGAGCGGCAGACGGGUGAGUAACGCGUGGGAACGUGCCCUUUGGUUCGGAAUAGCCCUUGGAAACGAGGAGUAAUGCCGAAUGUGCCCUUCGGGGGAAAGAUUUAUCGCCAAAGGAUCGGCCCGCGUUAGAUUAGCUUGUUGGUGAGGUAACGGCUCACCAAGGCGACGAUCUAUAGCUGGUCUGAGAGGAUGAUCAGCCACACUGGGACUGAGACACGGACCAGACUCCUACGGGAGGCAGCAGUGGGGAAUAUUGGACAAUGGGGGCAACCCUGAUCCAGCCAUGCCGCGUGUGUGAAGAAGGCCUUCGGGUUGUAAAGCACUUUCAGUGAGGAGGAAAACUCUGCGACUAAUACUCGUAGGGCUUGACGUUACUCACAGAAGAAGCACCGGCUAACUCCGUGCCAGCAGCCGCGGUAAUACGGAGGGUGCAAGCGUUGUCCGGAAUCAUUGGGUGUAAAGGGUGCGUAGGCGGGCUACUAAGUCUGGGGUGAAAUCUUGCCGCUUAACGGUAAAAUGGCCUUGGAUACUGGUAGUCUUGAGUGUAGAAGAGGCAGGUGGAAUUCGUAGUGUAGCGGUGAAAUGCAUAGAUAUUACGAAGAACAUCAGUGGCGAAGGCGGCCUGCUGGUCUACAACUGACGCUGAGGCACGAAAGCGUGGGGAGCGAACAGGAUUAGAUACCCUGGUAGUCCACGCCCUAAACGUUGAAUACUCGUUGUUGGCGAUAUACUGUCAGCGACUAAGCGAAAGCAUUAAGUAUUCCACCUGGGGAGUACGACCGCAAGGUUGAAACUCAAAGGAAUUGACGGGGGCCCGCACAAGCGGUGGAGCAUGUGGUUUAAUUCGAAGCAACGCGAAGAACCUUACCUGCGCUUGACAUCCCUAUCGCGGAUUAGAGAGAUCUUUUCCUUCAGCUCGGCUGGAUAGGUGACAGGUGCUGCAUGGCUGUCGUCAGCUCGUGUCGUGAGAUGUUCGGUUAAGUCCGGCAACGAGCGCAACCCACAUCUUUAGUUGCCAGCAGUUCGGCUGGGCACUCUAGAGAAACUGCCCGUGAUAAGCGGGAGGAAGGUGUGGAUGACGUCAAGUCCUCAUGGCCCUUACGGGUUGGGCUACACACGUGCUACAAUGGCGGUGACAAUGGGCAGCGAACCCGCGAGGGGGAGCUAAUCUCAAAAAGCCGUCUCAGUUCGGAUUGUUCUCUGCAACUCGAGAGCAUGAAGUUGGAAUCGCUAGUAAUCGCGUAACAGCAUGACGCGGUGAAUACGUUCCCGGGCCUUGUACACACCGCCCGUCACACCAUGGGAGUGGAUUGCACCAGAAGUGGUUAGUCUAACCUUCGGGAGGACGAUCACCACGGUGUGGUUCAUGACUGGGGUGAAGUCGUAACAAGGUAGCCGUA